UGCAGUAGAACGCUGAAGAGAGGAGCUUGCUCUUCUUGGAUGAGUUGCGAACGGGUGAGUAACGCGUAGGUAACCUGCCUUGUAGCGGGGGAUAACUAUUGGAAACGAUAGCUAAUACCGCAUAACAAUGGAUGACACAUGUCAUUUAUUUGAAAGGGGCAAUUGUUCCACUACAAGAUGGACCUGCGUUGUAUUAGCUAGUAGGUGAGGUAAUGGCUCACCUAGGCGACGAUACAUAGCCGACCUGAGAGGGUGAUCGGCCACACUGGGACUGAGACACGGCCCAGACUCCUACGGGAGGCAGCAGUAGGGAAUCUUCGGCAAUGGGGGCAACCCUGACCGAGCAACGCCGCGUGAGUGAAGAAGGUUUUCGGAUCGUAAAGCUCUGUUGUAAGUCAAGAACGGGUGUGAGAGUGGAAAGUUCACACUGUGACGGUAGCUUACCAGAAAGGGACGGCUAACUACGUGCCAGCAGCCGCGGUAAUACGUAGGUCCCGAGCGUUGUCCGGAUUUAUUGGGCGUAAAGCGAGCGCAGGCGGUUUGAUAAGUCUGAAGUUAAAGGCUGUGGCUCAACCAUAGUUCGCUUUGGAAACUGUCAAACUUGAGUGCAGAAGGGGAGAGUGGAAUUCCAUGUGUAGCGGUGAAAUGCGUAGAUAUAUGGAGGAACACCGGUGGCGAAAGCGGCUCUCUGGUCUGUAACUGACGCUGAGGCUCGAAAGCGUGGGGAGCGAACAGGAUUAGAUACCCUGGUAGUCCACGCCGUAAACGAUGAGUGCUAGGUGUUGGAUCCUUUCCGGGAUUCAGUGCCGCAGCUAACGCAUUAAGCACUCCGCCUGGGGAGUACGACCGCAAGGUUGAAACUCAAAGGAAUUGACGGGGGCCCGCACAAGCGGUGGAGCAUGUGGUUUAAUUCGAAGCAACGCGAAGAACCUUACCAGGUCUUGACAUCCCGAUGCUAUUUCUAGAGAUAGAAAGUUACUUCGGUACAUCGGUGACAGGUGGUGCAUGGUUGUCGUCAGCUCGUGUCGUGAGAUGUUGGGUUAAGUCCCGCAACGAGCGCAACCCCUAUUGUUAGUUGCCAUCAUUCAGUUGGGCACUCUAGCGAGACUGCCGGUAAUAAACCGGAGGAAGGUGGGGAUGACGUCAAAUCAUCAUGCCCCUUAUGACCUGGGCUACACACGUGCUACAAUGGUUGGUACAACGAGUUGCGAGUCGGUGACGGCGAGCUAAUCUCUUAAAGCCAAUCUCAGUUCGGAUUGUAGGCUGCAACUCGCCUACAUGAAGUCGGAAUCGCUAGUAAUCGCGGAUCAGCACGCCGCGGUGAAUACGUUCCCGGGCCUUGUACACACCGCCCGUCACACCACGAGAGUUUGUAACACCCGAA
rnacentral:rRNA from 1 species